AGACUUGUAGCCAAGCGGUAAGGCAAGGGGCUUUGAUCCUCUCAUUCCCUGGUUCGAAUCCAGGCAGGUCUUCCA
rnacentral:tRNA from 1 species